GCCUAGACCACUCGGCCACCGCGGCCUAUAGCGCGUUGGACUUCUAAUCCAAAGGUCGUGGGUUUGAAUCCCACCUGGGAA